UAAAAAUUGCUGCAUGAAUGUCAUUUAUUGAAAUUAACAUUAUUAUGAACACAUAAUGGAAAAACGUUCCUCAGAAGAGGAAGUUAAAUGUUGACCAUGAAUAGGACAAAGCUAUCUCAAAAGAUAGAAAUGUGGGAAAUCAUGAGGUCCCAUGACAGAUCAUUCUAGAAAGAAUGGUGUUUAAAUGGGGCUGCUCUAAUUCACAAAACAUGAGGGAUUUGCAUAAUUAUGACUUCAGGAAAUAGUAUGAGAUUGGUCUUGGUCACAUAGAGAAUUCAGCACACCUGUACCUGGCUCUGCCCCCAGGUGACUCUCCUUCUGCAAGGGAAGCACCUGGCUCCUUCCACUGUUGUAGGAUGUGGCCCACUGGAUUCUCAUCAGAGGCAUUUGAAUUUGUCUCCUGUGAGACACAGAGAUGUGGUGAAAAACUUGAUUGUCUUCAUCUCGAACAUGUAGCACAGCCACUGCUAGGAAGCAGGAUCUCAACAAAUGAUCGGUCAAGAAUGAGUGAGUGAAAGAACAAAUGAGUAUGGGUCAGCCCUAUCUCCCCAUCCGUGCGUGCUUGCGUGCGUGCGUGCGUGUGUGUGUGUGUGUGUGAAGUGGAGUUUUCUAUACCCAGGAAACUUCUCCUUGGCUAGCAAGAGUGCAAAGAGUUUGAACACAAAUUUAUUGCAUUUCCUCUCCUAAAGGCCCUGUUCUUUGGUGCUUUGCCCAUGUUGCCGCCCAGGUAUUUCACAAACCUGCUGUGUGCUAACUCCGUGUCAUUCCCACUCUGCCUCUGCACACACAUCUGUCCCCUGGUGCCCUCUGAUACGUGACAAGUCACACUAACCUCACUUCCCACAUUUAUAACCACAAGGUUCUUACAGAAAAUUUCCCUUUCCCUAGCUGCCAAGAUUCAUUCAGUAACACUAGAGGGUGGGUAGCAUGAUAGUCUGAGUACAUUCUCCUGGUGUGCUGGCACUAGAGAUCUGCACCUGGAGGAAAGAAAUCCUGAAAUGUGUUUUAGCCAAGUAGAAAGCAGAUAAUGUAUCCUCCAGGCAAAUACAAGAUUACAGUAGGCCUUAAUUGGCUGGGAUUAAUAAUGUAGCUAAAUAUGAGAGAAAAUUUCAAUUAAUAGUGACUUAAUCACACAAGGUUUUAUUUUCUCAAAUAAAAGAGGUUGGGAAAUAAACAGACAUGUAGUUCUGUGAAGCUCUUUCCAGCAUUUGCUUCUGGGAAACCCUGAUCCACAGGUAUGAGAUUGCUGCCAGAGCUCCAGCCAUCAGACCCAUGUUCCAAGCAGAAGAAGACUUCCCAAAAGUUGUACACAAUACUUUCACACAUACCUCAUUGAGUAGAAUUUGGUUGUAUAUCCAUAUUCAACUACAAGGGAGACCAAAGGCUAAAGGAAAUGCAGCCUUUAUUUUGGGAAUCCAGAAUGUAGAGCCAUUUACAAAACAACUGACCUGAUCUCUUCGAAGGUGCCUGUUGUCAAUUUUAAAAAACUGAAGAGACAUAUAAGUGAGCCUUGAUUGACUAUAGAAGAUAAUUUGAAUACAGUAGGGAAAAAUGGAUGUUGACUGAAUAUUAGAUGAUAUUAGAGAAUCAGGUAAUUUCCUUAGGCGUGAUUGUAGAAUUGUGGUUUCCUAGGAGCAUGUUCUUAUUUUUAGAAGAUGCAGGCUAUAAAGUAUUUAGGAGUGAAUUGUCCUGACAUCUAACAGAAUGGUUCACCAAAAUACAGUGUAUAAAUAGGUAAAAAGAUUGAAAGCGUGACUGAAGAAACGUGGAAAAGAUAGUGAGAAUUACUGAGCCUAGGUAGAGGGGAUAUAGGUAUUUAUUAUACUCUUUCAACUUUUCGGCAUGUCUAAAUUUCUUAUAAUAAAAUUGAGGGGAGAGUAAUUCUUUCUGUGGUUUGACUGUCCCACAGCCUUUUUCACAUGGGGUUGGCUGCGUCCUGGUGAAGAGGCAUGGCCUUCCCAGGGGCACCCUGGAGCCCAUCUGUCAGUUCAAAGGGUCUGCUGGUGGGCUGAAUUCCCCCAGUUUGGCCAGGACGGAUCUCAGAGUUGGGAGCUGUGGAGAAAUAAUGUUUCUCACUUCUCUGGGGCGGGAGCUUUGAUCACUGAAACCCUAUUCUACCAACCACCUUAUUUCAGACCAAUCAGACCAGGGCAAGUUUCUAGGAAAGCUUUUGUUAAAAAGUAAUGGCACACAAUAGGAAGUCUAUCUGCUAAAAGGUGAACUUUUGAAGGAAUAGAAAAAUAAAAGGAAAAGGAACUAAGAAUAUUUUUCAGAGGUCCUGUGAGGCCCUCUACAUGCAUCAGAGACACUCACUGUGGGGUCCAAUUCUGCUGAUUCCUAGCCGUCUAGUUUGGGGAAGUCUUUCCAUCUCUCAAAACCCUAGUUUUACCUGUAAAUACUGGCAUAGUAGUACUGAUUUGCAGGACUUUUAUGAUGAUUAGAAAUAGCAAAAAGAACAUUACUAGGCAGGUAGGAUUGCUAAACACCAUCGCACUUCGUAUUUACUCCUCAUAAGAACCCUUUGAGAUGGGUACUGUCUUCCCCACUUUACACAUUGGGAAACUGAGGCACACAAAAUUUACAUGAUUGCCCACAGCGAAUAAAUACAUAAUGUGUCUGGCAUGUUGUAUGCAUGUUUGUAGAAUUUGCUGUUAGGUAACCAUUUAAUUCUCCAAACCGUUGUUUUCCAGGUGAGAAAAUGGGACCUCAGCAGUUAGGUGAAUCUCCCAAGGCCAACUCCGAAGUCCACCCUCUUCGCACCACCUGCGGUGAGUCACGGAGUCAGCAGCACACCCCUGGCUGCAAUGGUCAUCCUCCUGAUAGCAGCCCUCCUCCCCAUCCCUGGCCUUCCUCCAGCCGGUGCUCCUGGUGCCUGGGAGUUACUAGUUGCUGCCACAAGAUGGGAUGGACCAUGCACACACAUAAACUGACGACCUUAAUGCAUAAGUGAUCCACAAACCAGUUUUAAUGGACUGGCAUGACAUCAGCUCAAAUUUUGAACACUAGAGCCACCACAUAAAACAUGUAGAUUUCUGCCUUCUCUGAUCAAAUGAGAGACUGGCUGUUUCUCCUGGGUGGCAAGCCACGUGGAGCUGAAGAGCAACAUCCUCUUCCAGAGGGAACCCAUGCCUCACAUUUGCCACUGAGAGCAGAGGUGCGUGAAGCCCCCGUGCCCUGCACACUCGACUUUCCUGCCAGGAGGCAAGGAGUGAACCCCACCAAUAACCUCCUGAGCUGUCCAAGUCACGCCCUGGGUCCCUGAGGUGCAGGAGCAAACCGUCUCAGCAAUGUGUCUGUUUCCUGCUUGACCUAUAGAACACCAUUCUGAUGGGAUGUUUUCAUUCUCUGGUAUUAUUCAUGGAUAACCAGACAAAAGAUACUGGCUACAGAAUCCGAGCCAGAGCAGCCUACCAGAAGGUCAGUGGGGAAAUGGAUUUUAUCAAGACACUGGAUGUGUAUGGCUCGAUGUCCCCAACCCCUUGAAGGAAACUGCUGCAGGAAGGAACCCCAGCCCCUCUGAUAGAAAGCUGAGCCUGCCUGUAGGCCCCACUGGCAGGAAAACAGAGAGGUCCCCUGAGACAAGGGAGAAUGGUGAACCCAGGGAAAACUACACCCUUUCUGGGGCCCUUCCCUGUGACUUAGUGGAAGUCACACACACACACACACAAAUGGAUGUGGCAAUAAUUCUGGCUGCAGCCCAAAGUAGCUUGCUAAAUCCACAGUGCCUUUUUUCUUAUAUAAUAUAAGCUAUUCCCAUGAGAAAGUGGAGAAGGAAGAACAGCUUAUUCCAGGCCGGCACUUGGAAAUUCCAUUGCGGAGCAAUGUCAGAGGAAAGGGGCCCUCUCUUAGAAAGUUAGUGAGGAAGUAUAAAUUGACAAACCCUCUCUAAUGGCACUUUGACAGUAACUAUCAGCAUUUUAAGUGCAUAUAACUUUUGCCUGAGCAAUACCACAUCUAGGAGUCUAUUCUACAGAAAUCCUACUGGAAGAUCACAAAGACACACCAACCAAGACUUGCUGCAGCGCCGUCUGUGGUGUGAAACCCUGAAAAUUGCCUACACUUCUACCUGCAGGGAAAACAGCUCCUAAAGGGCUCAGAUGAUAAGACUGGACCCACCCAAAUACCUGUCUUUGAGGAGCCGCCCAUCUUAAGCCACAUAACAUGUGGUGGAACCCAGCUCUCCAACACAGAAGAAAGGCCAGUGACUCCUUUCCCAGCCCCACCGGCAACUGAAACAUGAACGUGUGACCAGGCAUGGCCACCAAGACACAGGCGGGGGCUGUGCUGUCCAACCCAAGAGCUGCUGCCACACAUGCUGCCGAGCACCGGAAGUGGGGGCCAGUCCAAACUGAGAGGUGCUGCAAGUCAAGCGCACACCAGAUUUUGAAGAUUUGGUACAAGUAAAAGAAGGGAUGAAGUCUGAGCUGCCUGAGACCUCAGCAAGGAAGAACAGGGGCAAAGGGGAUGGGUGCCAAGCCAGACUCCAUAGGGGUGAAUCCUGGCUCAGCCACUUCCUAACAAUGUAUCUUUGGGUGUCUCCACGCCAUGCUCCUUCCACCACUAGGCCCGCCUCUGUCCCAUUUCCAUUGGAGAAGACGGCUGUGAAUCCUCUAGUCCCCGCCCCAGGAGAGGACAACUCACCAAUC